GGCCUCGUAGCUCAGUUGGCUAGAGCGUUGGCUGUACUAAAGCCUUCACAUUGCUGGUGCGAUUUCAAAUCCCAUCGAGGCCA
rfam:Schistocephalus solidus strain NST_G2 genome assembly, scaffold: SSLN_scaffold0001397